UACGUAGGGGGCAAGCGUUGUCCGGAUUUAUUGGGCGUAAAGAGCGUGUAGGCGGUUUGGUAGGUCCGUUGUGAAAACUCGAGGCUCAACCUCGAGACGCCGAUGGAAACCAUCAGACUAGAGUCCGGAAGAGGAGAGUGGAAUUCCUGGUGUAGCGGUGAAAUGCGCAGAUAUCAGGAAGAACCACCCGUGGCGAAGGCGGCUCGCUGGGCCGGUCCUGACGCUGAAACGCGAAGGCGUGGGGAGCGAACGGG
rnacentral:rRNA from 1 species